rnacentral:rRNA from 1 species
UACGAAGGGGGCUAGCGUUGUUCGGAAUUACUGGGCGUAAAGCGUGCGCAGGCGGCUUCUCAAGUCAGGGGUGAAAGCCCAGAGCUCAACUCUGGAAUUGCCUUUGAGACUGAGAGGCUCGAGUACGGGAGAGGUGAGUGGAAUUCCCAGUGUAGAGGUGAAAUUCGUAGAUAUUGGGAAGAACACCGGUGGCGAAGGCGGCGACCUGGUCCUUUUACUGACGCUGAGGCGCCGAAAGCGUGGGGAGCAAACAGG